AAUAGAUACCCUGGUAGUCCACGCCGUAAACGAUGGAUGCUAGCUAUUGGGGGGAAUCGACCCCCUCCGAAGCGAAGCUAACGCGUUAAGCAUCCCGCCUGAGUAGUACGAGCGCAAGCUUAAAACUCAAAGGAAUUGACGGGGACCCGCACAAGCGGUGGAGCGUGUGGUUUAAUUCGAUGGUAAACGAAGAACCUUACCAAGGCUUGACAUACACCAGAACACCCUAGAAAUAGGGGACUCUUUGGACACUGGUGAACAGGUGGUGCAUGGUUGUCGUCAGCUCGUGUCGUGAGAUGUUGGGUUAAGUCCCGCAACGAGCGCAACCCUCGUUCUAUGUUGCCAGCACGUAAUGGUGGGAACUCAUGGGAUACUGCCGGGGUCAACUCGGAGGAAGGUGGGGAUGACGUCAAAUCAUCAUGCCCCUUAUGUCUUGGGGCUUCACGCAUGCUACAAUGGCCGGUACAAAGGGCUGCAAUACCGUGAGGUGGAGCGAAUCCCAAAAAGCCGGUCCCAGUUCGGAUUGAGGUCUGCAACUCGA
rnacentral:rRNA from 1 species